UACGUAGGCAGCGAGCGUUGUUCGGAUUUACUGGGCGUAAAGCGCGCGUAGGCGGUUCGUUAAGUGGGAUGUGAAAUCCCCGGGCUUAACCUGGGAAUUGCAUUUCAAACUGGCCGACUAGAGUACGGUAGAGGGAGGUAGAAUUUCCUGUGUAGCGGUGAAAUGCGUAGAUAUAGGAAGGAAUACCAGUGGCGAAGGCGGCCUCCUGGAUCGAUACUGACGCUGAGGCGCGAAAGCGUGGGGAGCAAACAGG
rnacentral:rRNA from 1 species